rnacentral:lncRNA from 1 species
CCUUUGCCAUAAUUAAGCCUUUGUCUAACCUCCCAGAGCAAACAACUCUGGAUCCUUAAUUGGAUAAGCCACUUAGUGGUUGGCAACUUGUGGACCAUGAUUCGGAUUUAUCUGAUGAGUCUGUAGGGACUGGGAAUUACGAACUCCCAUUGCACCACCGGUGACCCCCUUUAAGGGUGGCUAAGGUGAUUUUCUUGCAGGUACUCAGCAUUUUGGAAGCUCAGUAUUUGUGUGGAGGGAUAC